UACGGGGGGGGCAAGCGUUGUUCGGAAUUACUGGGCGUAAAGGGCUCGUAGGCGGCCAACUAAGUCCGACGUGAAAUCCCCAGGCUCAACCUGGGAACUGCGUCGGAUACUGGAUGGCUUGAAUUCGGGAGAGGGAUGCAGAAUUCCAGGUGUAGCGGUGAAAUGCGUAGAUAUCUGGAGGGAUACCGGUGGCGAAGGCGGCAUCCUGGACCGACAUUGACGCUGAGGAGCGAAAGCUAGGGGAGCAAACGGG
rnacentral:rRNA from 1 species